rnacentral:rRNA from 1 species
GGGUUGUGAGGUUAAGCGACUAAGCGUACACGGUGGAUGCCCUGGCAGUCAGAGGCGAUGAAGGACGUGCUAAUCUGCGAUAAGCGUCGGUAAGGUGAUAUGAACCGUUAUAACCGGCGAUUUCCGAAUGGGGAAACCCAGUGUGUUUCGACACACUAUCAUUAACUGAAUCCAUAGGUUAAUGAGGCGAACCGGGGGAACUGAAACAUCUAAGUACCCCGAGGAAAAGAAAUCAACCGAGAUUCCCCCAGUAGCGGCGAGCGAACGGGGAGCAGCCCAGAGCCUGAAUCAGUGUGUGUGUUAGUGGAAGCGUCUGGAAAGGCGCGCGAUACAGGGUGACAGCCCCGUACACAAAAAUGCACAUGCUGUGAGCUCGAUGAGUAGGGCGGGACACGUGGUAUCCUGUCUGAAUAUGGGGGGACCAUCCUCCAAGGCUAAAUACUCCUGACUGACCGAUAGUGAACCAGUACCGUGAGGGAAAGGCGAAAAGAACCCCGGCGAGGGGAGUGAAAAAGAACCUGAAACCGUGUACGUACAAGCAGUGGGAGCACGCUUAGGCGUGUGACUGCGUACCUUUUGUAUAAUGGGUCAGCGACUUAUAUUCUGUAGCAAGGUUAACCGAAUAGGGGAGCCGAAGGGAAACCGAGUCUUAACUGGGCGUUAAGUUGCAGGGUAUAGACCCGAAACCCGGUGAUCUAGCCAUGGGCAGGUUGAAGGUUGGGUAACACUAACUGGAGGACCGAACCGACUAAUGUUGAAAAAUUAGCGGAUGACUUGUGGCUGGGGGUGAAAGGCCAAUCAAACCGGGAGAUAGCUGGUUCUCCCCGAAAGCUAUUUAGGUAGCGCCUCGUGAAUUCAUCUCCGGGGGUAGAGCACUGUUUCGGCAAGGGGGUCAUCCCGACUUACCAACCCGAUGCAAACUGCGAAUACCGGAGAAUGUUAUCACGGGAGACACACGGCGGGUGCUAACGUCCGUCGUGAAGAGGGAAACAACCCAGACCGCCAGCUAAGGUCCCAAAGUCAUGGUUAAGUGGGAAACGAUGUGGGAAGGCCCAGACAGCCAGGAUGUUGGCUUAGAAGCAGCCAUCAUUUAAAGAAAGCGUAAUAGCUCACUGGUCGAGUCGGCCUGCGCGGAAGAUGUAACGGGGCUAAACCAUGCACCGAAGCUGCGGCAGCGACGCUGAUGCGUUGUUGGGUAGGGGAGCGUUCUGUAAGCCUGCGAAGGUGUGCUGUGAGGCAUGCUGGAGGUAUCAGAAGUGCGAAUGCUGACAUAAGUAACGAUAAAGCGGGUGAAAAGCCCGCUCGCCGGAAGACCAAGGGUUCCUGUCCAACGUUAAUCGGGGCAGGGUGAGUCGACCCCUAAGGCGAGGCCGAAAGGCGUAGUCGAUGGGAAACAGGUUAAUAUUCCUGUACUUGGUGUUACUGCGAAGGGGGGACGGAGAAGGCUAUGUUGGCCGGGCGACGGUUGUCCCGGUUUAAGCGUGUAGGCUGGUUUUCCAGGCAAAUCCGGAAAAUCAAGGCUGAGGCGUGAUGACGAGGCACUACGGUGCUGAAGCAACAAAUGCCCUGCUUCCAGGAAAAGCCUCUAAGCAUCAGGUAACAUCAAAUCGUACCCCAAACCGACACAGGUGGUCAGGUAGAGAAUACCAAGGCGCUUGAGAGAACUCGGGUGAAGGAACUAGGCAAAAUGGUGCCGUAACUUCGGGAGAAGGCACGCUGAUAUGUAGGUGAAGUCCCUCGCGGAUGGAGCUGAAAUCAGUCGAAGAUACCAGCUGGCUGCAACUGUUUAUUAAAAACACAGCACUGUGCAAACACGAAAGUGGACGUAUACGGUGUGACGCCUGCCCGGUGCCGGAAGGUUAAUUGAUGGGGUUAGCCGCAAGGCGAAGCUCUUGAUCGAAGCCCCGGUAAACGGCGGCCGUAACUAUAACGGUCCUAAGGUAGCGAAAUUCCUUGUCGGGUAAGUUCCGACCUGCACGAAUGGCGUAAUGAUGGCCAGGCUGUCUCCACCCGAGACUCAGUGAAAUUGAACUCGCUGUGAAGAUGCAGUGUACCCGCGGCAAGACGGAAAGACCCCGUGAACCUUUACUAUAGCUUGACACUGAACAUUGAGCCUUGAUGUGUAGGAUAGGUGGGAGGCUUGGAAGUGUGGACGCCAGUCUGCAUGGAGCCGACCUUGAAAUACCACCCUUUAAUGUUUGAUGUUCUAACGUUGACCCGUAAUCCGGGUUGCGGACAGUGUCUGGUGGGUAGUUUGACUGGGGCGGUCUCCUCCUAAAGAGUAACGGAGGAGCACGAAGGUUGGCUAAUCCUGGUCGGACAUCAGGAGGUUAGUGCAAUGGCAUAAGCCAGCUUGACUGCGAGCGUGACGGCGCGAGCAGGUGCGAAAGCAGGUCAUAGUGAUCCGGUGGUUCUGAAUGGAAGGGCCAUCGCUCAACGGAUAAAAGGUACUCCGGGGAUAACAGGCUGAUACCGCCCAAGAGUUCAUAUCGACGGCGGUGUUUGGCACCUCGAUGUCGGCUCAUCACAUCCUGGGGCUGAAGUAGGUCCCAAGGGUAUGGCUGUUCGCCAUUUAAAGUGGUACGCGAGCUGGGUUUAGAACGUCGUGAGACAGUUCGGUCCCUAUCUGCCGUGGGCGCUGGAGAACUGAGGGGGGCUGCUCCUAGUACGAGAGGACCGGAGUGGACGCAUCACUGGUGUUCGGGUUGUCAUGCCAAUGGCACUGCCCGGUAGCUAAAUGCGGAAGAGAUAAGUGCUGAAAGCAUCUAAGCACGAAACUUGCCCCGAGAUGAGUUCUCCCUGAC